GGGAGCUGUAGGCCGCGGGGCCGCCCUGAGCGCCCGGCUGUGCGUUGGGCGCCCGGCUCUGCUCCGCGGCCGCACCCCGCGGGCUAUGGGUGCUGUGCCCCCCGCACCGCCAUCACGAGGAGCCGACCGAAUCAGAUCCCAGCGCGGCUCUCCGCCUUGUUUUUGGCUGGGCGGCUUGCCGUGGCGACCUGAUGAUGACGGGAAGGGGGUGCCUGGCGUUGCGAGAGCGCGUGGCUGGGUGAGGGGUUUGGCUUCGUGUCGUCCUGUAGGCCAGGGAGCCGCCUCGAAUUUCGUGUCGCCUCCUGUGUGAUCCCACAGCUCAGCACUGCGCGCUCUGCCCUCCCCUGCGGGGAAUAGAGGGUUCCGGGAGGGGACCUUAUCCCUGUGGAGACCCGAGCGGCGGGUCCGUACCUGGAGGGCGGUGUGAGAAAGAAGGGGGCAGACUCUUCAGCGGGGUCUGCUGUGACAGGACAAGGGGGGGUGGUUUCAAACUGAGAGAGGAGAGAUGUAGAGUGGGAAUGAGGAAGAAGCCCUUCACAGUAAGGGCGGUGAGGCCCUGGCACAGGCUGCCCAGAGAGGUGGUGCUGCCCCAUCCCUGCAGACAGCCAAGGUCGGGCUGGAUGGGCUCUGAGCGCUGAUGGAGCUGUGGGUAUCCCUGUGCACUGCAGGGACCUGAUGGCCUUUAAGGGUCCCUUCCAACUCAAACUGUUCUGUGAUCCUAUGAAGAAGCGACUCGGGAGAAGCCGGAGGAGGAGAUGGAACAUCCCUCUGAAGGAAAAGAUGUGGCUGCUGUGCUGGGUGCCGUGUGCCAGUGCUGCCCAGCAAAUGUUAAGCGCUCAGACUCCUACAGGAAGGGAAGCCCCGCAACACUUGGAUCCACAGCCCCACUGCUGCCAUCAGAGAGAGCAUUAUUCCAUCCGGGUGCUGCCAGCUGCAAGCAAAUAGACCGCCUUCAGCAUGCAAAUAAUGGACCCACUGUAGGAGCGGGGAGACAGAUGAGGUCUUUAUUCCUGCUCCCAGGCACUGCGUUGCUGAGACCUCUGUCUGUCUGACUGUCUAUCUGUCCGUCCCCCCAGGAACGCUCCGGUGUUUCCUCCUCUGACUCCCAUUGCAAAUCCUGUGGGGUGAGAGGGGGAAACUGAGGCAGGGAGGCAAUGGGAAGUGCGUGUGGGAUGCAUGGCCCCCUGCACCAAAGUCAAACUUCAGGGCAGGUUCAGAAAUGCUGAUCUGAGGGUGCUGAGGGCAGGGACAGGACCCCCAGGCCUUUUCUUUUUGUAGGUCAGUGCCAUGGCUGUUUUCAAGUCAAGGCUGAAUUCACUGGGAUUCAGCUGCCCCAGUCCCUCCUAGUCUGACCAGUUCCUUAAGGCCAGUGCCAAAGUGCAAGCAUCUGGAGUCUCUCAUUGACCUCCUGUGCCACUUAAGUAACUAGUCCUAAUACUGGGGCUUGGAACGAGGUGAUCCGUAAGGUCCCUUCCAACUCAGCUAUUCUGUGAUUCCACGAUUCUAUGAUUUCCUGAAACCUGACGUAACUCAGUUGCAUAAUAGAAUACCCAGGCAUAAUUCAUGCCUUUCCCAUCCUGAUGAAAAUCUGUGAUGACAUCUUUGUAUUAAAGAGGCCAUAGAAAUGCAAAGCGUGAUGACACAGGUGAGAACAAGUCACUGUUUUACAGGAUUGCCACUGUUACAGCCCUGUAAGCAUCCACAAAGGUCGGGCUGCGAGGAGCAGUGCUGGGCGAUAGCAGAUCCCAUCCACACCACCUCCUGCCUGCAGAGUGGCAGCAAUCAUCCUUGGCAGUGACAUCCCUGAUGCGGAGUGGAUUGAGCCAUCAGAGCAGCUCGGCUCUCUGCAGCGUGGCUGUGCCAUGUCACUGGGCACUGCUCCGUGCCACCAAUUGCUGACGAAGCCUCACUGCUGCAUGCUGCACCCCUGGAAAUACAUCUCUCUUCCUCUGCUUU